rnacentral:rRNA from 1 species
GAUGAACGCUGGCGGCGUGCCUAAUACAUGCAAGUCGAGCGAACAGACGAGGAGCUUGCUCCUCUGACGUUAGCGGCGGACGGGUGAGUAACACGUGGAUAACCUACCUAUAAGACUGGGAUAACUUCGGGAAACCGGAGCUAAUACCGGAUAAUAUAUUGAACCGCAUGGUUCAAUAGUGAAAGACGGUUUUGCUGUCACUUAUAGAUGGAUCCGCGCCGCAUUAGCUAGUUGGUAAGGUAACGGCUUACCAAGGCAACGAUGCGUAGCCGACCUGAGAGGGUGAUCGGCCACACUGGAACUGAGACACGGUCCAGACUCCUACGGGAGGCAGCGGUAGGGAAUCUUCCGCAAUGGGCGAGAGCCUGACGGAGCAACGCCGCGUGAGUGAUGAAGGUCUUCGGAUCGUAAAACUCUGUUAUUAGUGAAGAACAAAUGUGUAAGUAACUAUGCACGUCUUGACGGUACCUAAUCAGAAAGCCACGGCUAACUACGUG